GCGGGUAUAGCUUAGUGGUAAAGCAUGUACUUAGCAUGUACAAAGCCCUGGUUUUGAUCCCCAGCACACACA
rfam:Ictidomys tridecemlineatus contig008737, whole genome shotgun sequence.